rnacentral:rRNA from 1 species
GGAGUACAGCCGUAAGAUUAAACUCAAAUNNAUUGACGGGGGUCGCCAAGCGUGGAGCAUGUGUUUAAUUGAUGCAACGCGAAGAACCUUACCUACUCUUGACAUCCAGAGAACUUAGCGGGGAUGCUUUGGUGCCUUCGGGAACUCUGAGACAGGUGCUGCAUGGCUGUCGUCAGCUCGUGUUGUGAAAUGUUGGGUUAAGUCCCGCAACGAGCGCAACCCUUAUCCUUUGUUGCCAGCGGUUCGGCCGGGAACUCAAAGGAGACUGCCAGUGAUAAACUGGAGGAAGGUGGGGAUGACGUCAAGUCAUCAUGGCCCUUACGAGUAGGGCUACACACGUGCUACAAUGGCGCAUACAAAGAGAAGCGACCUCGCGAGAGCAAGCGGACCUCAUAAAGUGCGUCGUAGUCCGGAUUGGAGUCUGCAACUCGACUCCAUGAAGUCGGAAUCGCUAGUAAUCGUGGAUCAGAAUGCCACGGUGAAUACGUUCCCGGGCCUUGUACACACCGCCCGUCACACCAUGGGAGUGGGUUGCAAAAGAAGUAGGUAGCUUAAUU